rnacentral:tmRNA from 1 species
GGGGGUGUAAAGGUUUCGACGGGGAUUUUGAGGUAUGAUAAGCGGGUAGAGCCGAGUAAUCUCUAAAACUGCUCAAACUUUAAAAAAUAAACGACAACAAUACUGUUGCUAUGGCUGCCUAAUUGUUGACCCUUCGGGGUUAACAAUGGCAGUGCCGCGACCUGCGGGUCGCCCGUUCCUCUCGGUAGGACCACGAACCGAGACUGAGCGUCAUUUUAGUGGUGCACGUGCAUCGGCUGUUACCGUUGAACCGAUCACGCAGAAAACGGUUGCUUCUCCCCCGAGCCUGAGCAUCGGCGCGGCGAAGAAAAAGACUUAAUAGAUGUUCUGCACCCGGAGAAAGUUGUAUCAAGAGGUUUUCGGACAGGGGUUCGAUUCCCCUCACCUCCACCA